rnacentral:rRNA from 1 species
GUGGCGGACGGGUGAGUAACGCGUGGGCAACCUGCCCUCCAGCCCGGGAUAACUUCCGGAAACGGGAGCUAAUCCCGGAUGCGGAGCAAAGGACGCAUGUUUUUUGCUCGAAAGCUUCGGCGCUGGAGGAUGGGCCCGCGUCCCAUUAGCUAGUUGGUGAGGUAACGGCUCACCAAGGCGACGAUGGGUAGCCGGCCUGAGAGGGUGAUCGGCCACACUGGGACUGAGACACGGCCCAGACUCCUACGGGAGGCAGCAGUAGGGAAUCUUGCGCAAUGGGCGAAAGCCUGACGCAGCGACGCCGCGUGAGGGAAGAAGGCCUUCGGGUCGUAAACCUCUGUCCUUGGGGACGAUGAUGACGGUACCCAAGGAGGAAGCCCCGGCUAACUACGUGCCAGCAGCCGCGGUAAUACGUAGGGGGCGAGCGUUGUCCGGAAUCACUGGGCGUAAAGGGUGCGUAGGCGGCUUGGCAAGUCCUGUGUGAAAGGUCGCG